CAUGUACUGAAUAAGUAAGAGGUACAGAGUUGGCUUACAAUCGCCACUUCACACAAUACAUAAAUAUAGCAGUACAUCAACCAGAUACAAUCAAUGUCCGACUACGGAACCAAAAUAAAAGAAGACUACCCCAAAUGCAAAAGAUCCCCGAUCGCCCCGACUGGUCGCCACUACUGAUCAACUGAAACGAAACAACAUGAUGAAAAAGAUCUUCAUCGAGCUCCUCCUUGAGCUUGGUUGAGUCACCUGCACGGUAUCAUCGGCACCUACAAACUGGUUUGGAAGUAUCUGUGAGCCACGAUGACUUAGCAAUCUCACACCCGCGAGAUCAAGACUAUUUAAGCUUAUGGGUAGGAUAGGGUAAUGAGGUGGAGCUGCAGCAAGCACUGGCAUAUAUGGUGGCUAACUUACGCAAAAUAAGAGCGAGAAGAGAAGCAAAGCACGGUCGUGAAUUAGAAGUGAUCAAAAAGUGAUCCUGAAACUACUUACGUUCAAGCAUAACACAAGAACCGUGUUCACUUCCCGGACUCCGCCGAGAAGAGACCAUCACGGCUACACAUGCGGUUGAUGCAUUUUAAUUAAGUUAAGUUUCAAGUUCUCUACAACCGGAUAUUAACAAAUUCCCAUCUGCCCAUAACCGCGGGCACGACUUUCGAAAGUUCAAAACCCUGCAGGGGUGUCCCAACUCAGCCCAUCACAAGCUCUCACGGUCAACGAAGGAUAUUCCUUCUCCCAGGACGGCCCGAUCAGACUCGGAAUCCUGGUUACAAGACAUUUUGACAAUGGUAAAACAAGACCAGCAAGACCGCCCGAUGCGCCGACAUCCCGAUAGGAGCUGCACAUAUCUCGUUCUCAGGGCAACACCGGAUGAGCACUCCGUACAACUAAAACCAGCCCUCAAGUUUCCCUGAGGUGGCGCUGCAAAGGACUCAAAUUCGGACCAACACUUAGAGAAGCACUGGCCCCAGGGGGGUUAAAAUAAAGAUGACCCUCGAGAGAGCGACUCCCAAGGGAAAAGUAGGUGGUGGUGAGGCAAUUGGUAAAUCCAAGGUUGAGCCUUGCUGGAGGAGUUUUAUUCAAAGCGAACUGUCAAGGGGUCCCCAUAACACCCAACCGUGUAAGGAACGCAAAAUCAAGGAACAUAACACUGGUAUGACGGAAAUUAGGGCAGCAAGAGUGGAACAAAACACCAGGCAUAAGGUCGAGCCUUCCACCCUUUACCAAGUAUAUAGAUGCAUUAAUUAAAUAAGAGAUAUUGUUAUAUCCCAACAAUACAUGUUCCAAACAUGGAACAAACUCCAACUUCACCUGCAGCUAGCAACGCUAUAAGAGGGGCUGAGCAAAGCGGUAACAUAGCCAAACAACGGUUUGCUAGGAAAGGUGGGUUAUAGGCUUCACAUGGCAAUAUGGGAGGCAUGAUAUAGCAAGUGGUAGGUAUCGCGACAUAGCAAUAGAGCGAGCAACUAGCAAGCAAAGAUAGAAGUGAUUUCGAGGGUAUGGUCAUCUUGCCUGAGAUCCCGCAAGGAAGAAGAACGAGUCCAUGAAGAAGACAAACGGACGUAGUCGAACGAAUCCUCACAAACGCAACGUUAUCGGAACCAACCCGAAGAAGCAACACCGGAAAAAAGCAAACAACAUAGUAAAUAACUACCACAUAGACAUGGCAUGAUGCGCAACCAAGUAAGAUGCAUGUCCGGUUUAAUGAGGCAUGGCAUGGCAAAAUGCACAAACAAUCCUACAAAUUAAAUGGAGCUCAAUAUGCAACGGAGUUGCAUAUUGAAGAAAACACCACCUGACUUAUUUAGUUCUCUCUCGUUUAUGUACCAAACAAAAUUAAAUGUUGAUUAACAUGGCAAGGGGUGAAGCAAAUGAAAACUACCUAUCUAGGCAAGUUUAAAUGAGGCGGAAACAACAAACAACAAGUCCGAAAACUCCUCAUGUGCAUAUUUUAGGUUUUGGUACUGUUCUGCCCUAAACCAUAUUUUAUAGUUGUUAAACAUGCAAAGCAAUGUCACCAUGUUAAACUAGGCAUUUUUCCACCCCAUUUACAUAUAAAGUUUAUUAAAUUUGGAGCUAUGGUUAUUUAGUUAUGGAAUAAAGCAUUUUAACAAGUUAUUUAAGCAAAUUUAAAAAAACAACAUUUUAAACAUAGAUGAAAGUGGCAAAUUAUUAAUCUACACAAAAUUCUAAGCAAGUUUCAUAUAUUAAGUUUUUACAUGUGAUGCUUAGUUUGUGAGUUAAAAUAUGAAUGAAGUUCAAGGGUGUUUCUGCAAAACUGUUGUCUCAGGAUUAAUUGCUAAAAUCACAGACAAGGGAAAAAACACAUUGGGCCGAAUCUGGUUGGCCCGAUAGUGUACAGGAGAGGGAGUGGAGAGGGGCCGCUCACUUUGGGCCAAACCGGGUCGUUGAGGGGGAGUAGCCCACGCGGGACAGUGGUGUGGAGCAGGCCGGCGUGGGAAGGCGGCCCAAGGCCUGGUUUGGCGGAUCUGGGCCACGCGGAGACUGCACAUGUGGGUUGGGGAGGCGCUGGGCUUGGGAUCGGAACGAGGCCGGCUGGAUCCACGCGACGAGGAGUCAACGCGGGGCGUGCGAGUUGCUUGUCUCUGAAGAACAGAGGCAGAGUAUACCCGUGGAGAUGCAGAAGACGGCGGCAGCGGGACAUGGCAGCAGGGCGAAGCUGAAGACGUCGGCGCACGGGCGAGGAACGGGACAGUGGGGCCGGACUUGCGGGUCGAACAGAGGAACUUGGCGGGGCGACGACUCCUUGGUGUCUUCGUACAGCUGCAGACGGCACCGGGGGCGGGGAAACGGGCGGAGGACUUGGAGAUGGGCGCCAGCGUUGGGGCUUGCUGUCGGCGCGAGAAGGCAGCGGCGCAUGGCUUCCAGUGGUGAGGCUCCUGCCCACGGAGAAGAGAGGGAGAGCUGAGAGACCGAGGGGGAAGAAGAAAUAGGAAGAGAAGGAAAAGAAAGAGGAGGAGGAUGGAGUGACCUGGUCCGACAGGUCGCCGUCGAGGCAGGGCGAUGUGGAGCUGCUGGUCUAGCGGCUGGACUUGGGCGAGUCGUCCAUGGAUCGAGACGAGGAGGCCGCGGCCUCGAGCGCAGAUGCAGGGGAGCACAAGCGCAGGUUAUGGGGAUCGAGCUCCGCUCGGGAGCGAGGGGUGUGGGGUCUCUGUUCCCUGGCCGCUGGAUCGGUCCAUUGGUUGUUGGCAGCGGCGAUGCUGGUUGGCCCGGCG
rnacentral:lncRNA from 1 species